rnacentral:RNase_P_RNA from 1 species
AGGAGAAGAGGGACAGCUGACGCUAAACCUUCUUUGGCUGGCAAAGAAGGUUUAAUCCAAGAAACCAGGUGGUUGUUUUGGAUAAAACCUCUUGUAGCCAAAAGGUUGGGUGAGGAAAGUCCCCCCUCCAUCGAGCGGGGAUGUGGCGCAAGCCACCUAGGCGAGAGUCUUGGCGAGGGAACAGAAACGGCACGGCCAUGGGGAUGGAGCAAUGAUCUGAAGAAGAGAGGACCCCCAUGGAAACGAUGAAACGGUCCUCGCCCCGGAGCAAGCCCAAAUAGGUCGGAAUGACCAGCUCAGGGACCGGCGGGUAGGGUGCAUAGUCGAAUGCUGUCUAUGCCUUACAAAAAGGCAAAAACAGAAGGGGGCUUACCACCUUCACCU